CAAUAGUCAGCAUUUGAAGGAGCACCCUAAAAUGGCAACAGAUAAUGAAGUUGGCCCUUUAAAGAGUCUUCAGGUGCUGGUGCUGAGGCAAACUUAUCUGAUCAGAUCAUCUGUUCCUUCAGUCUAGCAAGCAAGAAACUUUGCAUAAAAAUACUCACACCAUCGAUCUAUGCCACAAGAUUUUAUAGUGGUUCACUGAGAUAUAUAUGGCUGGGAGAAAGGUUAGUCAAAUAUUUGUCAGAGGAAUGUUGUAUCUCCUAUGUAGAGCAGCUGAUUGGCAUCAAGAGACUUAUCUCCCCCAUAUCACAGGAAGAGUGGCACCAGGCUUAAUUGUCAAUAAAAGCAGUAUACAAGGAAGACAUUGGCUCUUUGGCUGCAUGAAAACUGUUCAGACAUAUGAGAAUAAAGAAGUGCAGAAGAAGUUCCUGUGGUGGUAACUGAAAGCAAGAAAUGGUGGUCUAUGGGAUAAAAAAGUUCACACAGCAGAAGUCAGUGAAUUUAGGAUGAGUUAAGCACUGAUCAGCUUCAUCCUAGUGAUAUUCUGAGUGGGAUACAUCUGCUCUCAACAUAGACGGCUUGAAAUCAAAACAUGAAAUUUACCCCAGCCAAGAUCAUGACCAGAUACAGAUCAAGAAAACAAAAUAAAUUUAGUUCUAUGAGAAAAACGACAUGCACAAUUAGGGUGGGAGGUCAGAGGAAGAAUAUGUGGGUGUGUGAAU